GAUUUGUCUGGUURAUUCCGAUAACGAACGAGACUCUGGCCUAUUAAAUAGUCCGCCCGUGCGCGUAGGCGGGCGUCGGCUUCUUAGAGGGACAAGUGGCGCUUAGCCACGCGAGAUUGAGCAAUAACAGGUCUGUGAUGCCCUUAGAUGUCCUGGGCCGCACGCGCGCUACACUGAAGGAAUCAGCGUGCCUCCGUCCUGGCCCGUGAGGGCCGGGCAACCCGCUGAACCUCCUUCGUGCUAGGGAUCGGGGCUUGUAAUUGUUCCCCGUGAACGAGGAAUUCCCAGUAAGCGCGAGUCAUCAGCUCGUGUUGAUUACGUCCCUGCCCUUUGUACACACCGCCCGUCGCUACUACCGAUUGAAUGGUUUAGUGAGACCCUCGGAUCCGUCCCGUCCGGCGGCUUCCGGCCGCCGCGCCGGCGCGCGGAGAAGACGGUCGAACUUGAUCAUUUAGAGGAAGUAAAAGUCGUAACAAGGUUUCCGUAGGU
rnacentral:rRNA from 1 species